rnacentral:rRNA from 1 species
UACGAAGGGGGCUAGCGUUGUUCGGAUUUACUGGGCGUAAAGCGCACGUAGGCGGAUCGUUAAGUCGGGGGUGAAAUCCUGGAGCUCAACUCCAGAACUGCCUUCGAUACUGGCGAUCUUGAGUCCGGAAGAGGUGAGUGGAACUCCUAGUGUAGAGGUGGAAUUCGUAGAUAUUCGGAAGAACACCAGUGGCGAAGGCGGCUCACUGGUCCGGUACUGACGCUGAUGUGCGAAAGCGUGGGGAGCAAACAGG